rnacentral:ncRNA from 1 species
GUUAAGUUUAAUUUUAAUUUAAUAUUAUAAAAUAAUAUAAGAAGUAUAAAAUAAGUAGGAACUUUAAUAUUAGUAAAAUACUACUAUUCGUAUUAUUUUUUUACUUAUUUAAUAAAAUAAAGCUAGAUUUAUAUCUAACUUCUAAUUUUAAAAUCCUUUAUAAGUCGACUUAAGUUAAAAAUAUUAUUAAUUAGGGAAUUUAACUAAAGUAGUAUAUCUAUUAAACUAUAAUAUAAAUAUCUUAAAAGAAGCUUAUAGAGAAUAGAAAUCUCUAAUAGAAUAAAAAAAUAAAAGUCUUUUUAAUUUUGAUUUUUAGUAUAAAUAUAAACUUUAAAAUAUAACCUAUCGAUCUUUUAGUCUUUUAAAAUUUAAAACUAGAAGUAUUAGAAAAAUUACUAU